CGUAGGAAAUUCCGUUCUUAAAACCUUUAUUUUAUAAAAAAUUUUAAAAUUUUGCAUAUGCUCCAAACUUUAAUAGAAAAAUGAGUAAAAUAUUGACAUAAGUGAGCUCGUCGUCCUAUGUGUCCCGUGAUGAUACCGAAAACUAUACUGACCACCAACGGAAUCGUUACUCCAUCCACAAGAUGCUGCUUUUGAUGGCAAGUGCGAUAUCAUCUACGUUAGUAACAAUUAGUUAUACAUUAUUUGAAACAUAGGGCUUUUAUCAUUCCGAGUAAAACGUGCGUUUUGAUUGAA